AUUGUAUCAUCUUCUUCAAGUUACCAGCAGAACCUUACCUCUCUCCAUAGCUGGGGUUUCUUCAACUUUCAAGCUUCAUAAUCAAGAAGAGCGAAAUUCGAGAGUAGAUCGGGGAAAAGAAAAAGUAAAGGACUAAAUUGUAAAGUUUAGUCACAUUUUGUAUCGAGUACUUAUCUAGUCACUCGGGGAUCGAAGGAAAUGUCGGAGGCCGAUCACACUAUCAAAGAAAUAACUCGGUAUAAUUAGGCGUUUUGUUUUGUGUAUGGCAUGUAUAGAAACUUAGCCACUUUUGAUAUAAUAUGAACAAUGAAUGAUGUGUAAAUACUUGCUA